rnacentral:rRNA from 1 species
UCGAGAAUAGUCUACAAUGGCCGGAAGGCUGAUAGUGCGACGCCGCGUGAACGAGGGAGCCCUUCGGGGUGUAAAGUUCUUUUGCUAGGGGAGAAUAAGUGUGGGAGGGAAUGCCUGCACGAUGACAAGGACUAUCGAAUAAGUCCCGGCCAACUACGUGCCAGCAGCCGCGGUAACACGUAGGGGGCGAGCGUUGUUCGGAAUUACUGGGCGUAAAGGGCAUGUAGGCGGCUUGGUAAGCCUGGCGUGAAAGUCUGCAGCUUAACUGUAGGGAUGCGUUGGGAACUGCUUAGCUUGAGUUACGGAGAGGGAGCUGGAAUUCCUGGUGUAGGGGUGAAAUCUGUAGAUAUCAGGAAGAACACCGAUGGCGAAGGCAAGCUUCUGGCCGACAACUGACGCUGAGGUGCGAAAGUGUGGGGAUCAAACAGG